rnacentral:rRNA from 1 species
UACGUAGGGUGCAAGCGUUUAAUCGGAAUUACUGGGCGUAAAGCGUGCGCAGGCGGUUGUGCAAGACAGAUGUGAAAUCCCCCGGGCUCAACCUGGGAAUUGCAUUUGUGACUGCACGGCUAGAGUGUGUCAGAGGGGGGUAGAAUUCCACGUGUAGCAGUGAAAUGCGUAGAGAUGUGGAGGAAUACCGAUGGCGAAGGCAGCCCCCUGGGAUAACACU